GACGAACGCUGGCGGCGUGCUUAACACAUGCAAGUCGAACGGAGCGAAUGAAAGCUUGCUUUUAUAAGCUUAGUGGCAAACGGGUGAGUAACACGUAGACAACCUGCCGACAGGAUGGGGACAACAUUCCGAAAGGAAUGCUAAUACCGAAUGAAGUGCAGGGGAGGCAUCUCCCCUGCAUGAAAGAUGGCCUCUAUAUAUAUGCUAUCACCUGUUGAUGGGUCUGCGUCUGAUUAGCUGGUAGGUGAGGUAACGGCUCACCUAGGCGACGAUCAGUAGCCGGUCUGAGAGGAUGAACGGCCACAUUGGGACUGAGACACGGCCCAGACUCCUACGGGAGGCAGCAGUGGGGAAUCUUCCGCAAUGGGCGCAAGCCUGACGGAGCAACGCCGCGUGAGUGAAGAAGGUCUUCGGAUCGUAAAGCUCUGUUGAUGGGGACGAACGUGCCUAAUGCGAAUAGUUUUAGGC
rnacentral:rRNA from 1 species